AUGCCAUCUCUUCUCUUCCGGCUUGUGCGAGCCUUGUUGAAUUUGGUCAAGCAAACAUUGUACCCGGCCGCGAAGCCUGGACGUGGUGUCCCCGUCCUUGGCGGUAGCGACGCCGGCUUCAAGAGGCCGGCGGUGCUCACCUGCCCCCGGUACAUCAUCUCCGUGAUCUGUGAAUUCGCCAUGUUGAUCUGCAUCACCGGGACGCUGUGCUACUACUUCACCUACGACUUGCCACCUGAGUUCUCCGUCCACUUGACGCCGAUCCCGAGCAACAGCAGCGUGGGGGCUCCGGCCGCGACGACGUCCAUCCCCCGGGCCUUCGACGUCGUCCUGCACGCCAGCAACCGCCGCGCUACGGGGAGGUGCCACCACCACGGGGAGGGAGUGGUGACGUACGGCGGCUAUACCGUGGCGUCGGGCCACGCGCCCGACUUCUGUGUGCCGUGGAAGGGGGCGCUCGAGGUGCCGUUCGAGCUGGCGUGGGACUGGGACGACGGCGUUUACCUGCCCGAGCACCUGCGCGGACUCAUCGCGGCGGCGGAGAGAGUCUGCGCCGUGGAGUUUGAGGUCCAGGUGAGGCUCCUCCAGGGAGGCGACGCCCGCUCCGGCACGGGCACGCCGACGUGGAUGUGGUGCAAGGCGAGGAUCGGUGGGGCGCCUGGCGCCGUCACGCCCUGCACCGUGUUCGCUCCACAGAACUGGUUUUCGCCCCUGGCUUAG
rnacentral:rRNA from 1 species